CCUUUAGAGAUAGAGGAGUGCUCGAAAGAGAACCGUAACACAGGUGCUGCAUGGCUGUCGUCAGCUCGUGUCGUGAGAUGUUGGGUUAAGUCCCGCAACGAGCGCAACCCUUGUCAUUAGUUGCUACAUUCAGUUGGGCACUCUAAUGAGACUGCCGGUGACAAACCGGAGGAAGGUGGGGAUGACGUCAAGUCCUCAUGGCCCUUAUAGGUGGGGCUACACACGUCAUACAAUGGAUGGUACAAAGGGUCGCCAACCCGCGAGGGGGGAGCCAAUCCCAUAAAGCCAUUCGUAGUCCGGAUCGCAGUCUGCAACUCGACUGCGUGAAGUCGGAAUCGCUAGUAAUCGUGGAUCAGAAUGUCACGGUGAAUACGUUCCCGGGUCUU
rnacentral:rRNA from 1 species